GUCCACUCUUGAUGAUGAAGAACCAAUCACCAUCUUUCGGCUGAGUACCUGAUGGACAUCAUGUUUUUACCUGAGAGAGUC
ensembl:snoRNA